GCUUGGCAUAGUGGUACUGCGUGUCACUCGUAAUGACAAGAUCCUCGGUUCGAUUCCGAGAGUGGGCA
rnacentral:tRNA from 1 species